GCAUCUUUGCUCUGGGUAUCUUUGUCCCUGAAUGAACAAAUAAACGAAUGUGCCUUGAUCAUAAAAUAAAAGAAAGAUAAACCUCAACAUAUGAGUAAAGCAUCACAAAUGACAGUCUAUAAGAAAGUUGCUGCAGGUGAAAUUCUCUGCGUAGCAUGAACCAUGAAGUAAUUUGCUAACUUAAUCAUCAUGGUGAUUAUAAUCAAAAGAUGUUAGGCAAAUCUAUUAUACAAAACUGAAAACAAAUGAGGCCUGCAUUGAUAUGAUUACUAAGUUGACAUAAAGAUGUACAUCACAUUGCAUAUCAACUCAUGAACAACACAAAUUUGAUAUGAAAGAAAAACUGAAUCUGGUUAGCAUCAAAUAAAACUAUGUAGCAAAAUUCCUAUUCAAUAAAGCUAGACAAGGAUGGACAUGAUACAUAGGAAGAACUGUAGAGUUUACUAAUGAUAUAAAGAUAUAUUUUCUGAAUUUCAUCAUUCAAUGACAGCCAAAGCAAUAAUAUACCCCUAGAUUCUAGACCUCUAGAAAUGCACACUUAGAGCAACCAUAGAACUAUUCGCUGCAUCAUGUUCAAUGGGGGAAAUAGAAACAUACUUUCGAUAAGUGUAACAGCAUGAGCUAAUUAUGCAAAUUCUUCAAGUGAUUCAUCAACAGAAAAUGAAUUAUAUAUUCAGUGCCUUUACAUUCAACUCCAACAAAGUAGGCUUCCUCUAGACAAACCUAUAUUCUUAAUAUGAAAAUUCUUUAGUUUUAAAAUGAUGACAAAAUGAUCUAAAUAUCAGUUUGAAAUAUAUUUUGCCAGAAAAGUGCAAAGUGAAAAACACAUAAAUAAAAGAGAAAAACCAAAGGCUAAAGAAAUUGAAAUGUGUCCAAAAAUAUUAUUCAUGAAAGAUCUGUGAUAAAAGAAUAGCUAGGAUGCAAUUCAAGAGUGAGAUAAUGUCUCUUUUUUCUUUCUUAACAAAAAGACUGACAAAAGUCACAAUUCCUAUAUAGUAAUUGUCAAUAAUUCACAAGCAAGGUUACAGAAUGUUAAGAGGCAAGCCAGAAAAGCAAGUAAUAAAUUAGACUUUUCAAUAAUCAAAUUUGAGAAACCAGUAGAGAUAUUCUCUAGUAAAGGGCUAAUAUAAUAGCUUCAACAAAAAAUGAUACUCAAACCUGAUUCUCAAAUUCUAAUAAGUGAAGCAUCAAUGCUCCGGGUCUCUUUGUCCCUGAAUGAACAAAUAAAGAAUGUGCCUUGAUCAUAAAAUAAAAGAAAGAUAAGCCUCAACAUAUGACUAAAGCAUCACAAAUGGCAGUCUAUAAGAAAGCUGUUGCAGGUGAAAUUAUCUGCGAUGUUAGGAAAAUCUAAAGCAUCACAAAUCUAAAACAGUUAACAAAUGCUUGAUUUGUGAUACUUAAUCAUCAUGGUGAUUGUAAUCAAAAGAUGUUUAGCAAAUCUAUUGUACAAAACUGAAAACAAAUGGGGCCUGCACUGAUAUGAUUACCAAUUUGACCAAAAGAAGUACACAUCAUGUUGCAUAUCAACUCAUGAACAACACAAAAUUUGAUAUAAAAGAAAAACUGAAUCUGGUUAGCAUUAAGUAAACUAUGUAGCAAAAUUCCUAAUCAAUAAAGACAUGACAGAUAGGAAGAAUUGUGGAGUUUACUAAUGCACCAAUUUGAGCUCAAUUAAACAGGAAAUACUGGACCUGAAGCCACUUUUGAUUUCAGAUCUGAGAUUAGCUUCUUUAGGUUGAAAAUCUUCAAGCCAAACUAACUAGAAUGGUCAAAACCACACAACUGGGCCAAAAUAAGCAUGUCAAUUAAAUGACUCAAAAAAACAAUCACUUAAAUGUUUCAACUGGAAUUAUCAUCUCAAUUUAAACCUUUUACAUAUAUGAUAUUAGGAAUUAAAAUCAAUAAUCACAACAGCGGCUGAAAGCUUAUUCUCCUUAAAUAAAUAGGGAAGGUGGCAUGAAGAAAUACCAAUUCAGAGGUCAGUUUUAUACUCACAAGUAGCAGAUUCAAACUAUAGCACGUGGAUGCUGAAACUCGUGAUAGAUGACUACAACAGCAUAAUUCAAAAUACUGAAACAAUAACCAUGUCAUUAGUUGGUGAGCAUUUGUAUGAAACUUAGCAAGCUUCUCUAACAAUCUCAUGAAGAUUGCUACUAGUCUGCUACAAUGCAACAGCUAAUCAGCAAGAAAAAUCCUGCAGACCGAAAUAAUCACAAAUUAGAAC
rnacentral:lncRNA from 1 species